GCAUCAGUGGCAGCAGUAGAUGCAAAAGUUACAAACAACAUCAUUUCUAUUUGAUGGAUUCAAUAAAUGACAAUACUUCCAAGCAGGAUCUUUGUUACUAUUGUCAUUUUUAGCAUCAGUGGCAGCAGUAGAUGCAAAAGUUACAAACAACAUCAUUUCUAUUUGAUGGAUUCAAUAAAUGACAAUACUUCCAAGCAGGAUCUUUGUUACUAUUGUCAUUUUUAACAUCAGUGGCAGCAGUAGAUGCUUCAGUUUCCAUCUUCCUGCAAAUCUUCAAAUGACCAAAUUUGCAAAACAGAUGCAAGGAAAUUAAGGCUAAUUUUCAUUAAAUUUGUUACCUAACUAGUAAUUACUUGAUUAGCAUGCCAAAAUUCUCAUUCAUAAUCCAAUAUAUAAAACUCAAACUCUUAACUACACAUGAAUUAAAGAAAUUAACUAAAUUAUAUUUAUAAUUUCACUAAAAUAGUAAAAUGAUAACACAAUUUCAAGUAAAGAAUUUCAUUAAUUGAAUCAUAAUUUUACCAAAAUGAUAACACAAUUUCAAUGGCUUCUUUCACUAAAGUAUAAUUUCUCUAAUAAUCCAUGCCACAUAAAUAUAAAUUAAU
rnacentral:misc_RNA from 1 species